GUGAAGAACGUAUACAGGGUAAAAUUUCCAAAGGAUCAGCAUUUGACAUUUUUGUUGUGAUCAAAACAGCAGGCUAUGAGGUGUAUGUAAAUGGGCAGAAGUCUUUCCUGUUCAGUCAUCGCAUACCAAUGGCCAAAGUGAAUUCAGUUUAUAUUCGUGGAGAUGUCAAAAUGAACACUGUUGGUAUUGUUGCAAACUGGAGCAAAUCUACGUUUGGUAAGGAACUAAACACUGGCAUCUCACGCACAAAGCUUUCAGACAUCCAGUCUAAUGUCCCACAUCCAGUCUGCAAUCCU